AACGAACGCUGGCGGCAUGCCUAACACAUGCAAGUCGAACGGAACCUUCGGGCCUAGUGGCGCACGGGGGCGUAACACGGGGGAACCUACCCGUAGGUACGGUAUAACUGCCCGAAAGGUGUGCUAAGACCGGAUAAGGUCUUCGGACCAAAGAGUUCUCGCCUUUGGCUGGGCGCUCGUUGGCUUAGCUAGUUGGUAGGGUAAAAGCGUACCAAGGGGACGAUCCAUAGCUGGUAUGAUAGGAUGCUAAACCACGCUUGAACUGCGACACGGCCUACCCGGCUACGCAAGGCUGCGGUGUGGUAUAUUGGGGGAUGGGCCCUGGCGUGGCCCCGCAAUGCCGCGUAAGUGAUGAAGGCGUUAGGGUUGUAAAGCCCUUUUACCCGAGGUGUUAGUGACGGUACCGGGUGAAUAAGCUCCGGCUAACUCCGUG
rnacentral:rRNA from 1 species